GCAGAAAAAAAUUUGUAUUAAAUUUGCUCUCGAUGCCAAUUAUAUCGAUCGGGUAAUCGCUCCGUCACCUUUCGCGCAGAAAGCGUGAAAUUACGGGUGUUUACACUAUACGAUAUUUUGUCUACCACCUGUGUAUUAUCAUUUAUAUUGAAUUAGGCGAUUUACGCUAUAAUUUACGCUAAGAGUCGGAAAUUUUCUAUAAUAUUCGGUUCUAUAUCGAUCCAUCGAAGGGUGGGAAUACGGAACCCUUCUCGCAGUCAGAUGUGCUUCGAUUCUCGCAAAGUAAUGAUUUGUAUAAAGACUCGGCAUUUUAGAUUACUUCGGAUACUUUUGUUCAUAGUUGGCUUAUGGCCUUGUCAGCGAUCAAGGCUCGUUCAAUUUCAACCUAUUUUGGUUUUUAGUAUUUUACUUAGUUUUAUUGUAAUCCAGUUUAUGAUAUUUAUCACUGCAGAAUUUACUUUUGAUCUUCUCAUCGAGAUUCUCUCUAGAGGAUCAUUUUGUACUAUGUAUGUGAUUAUAUAUAAUGCUUUUUGGUAUAACUUCACUGAAAUUGUGGAAUAUCCUCUGGAAAAACUUCAGCACAUCUGUAAUGAAUUAAAAGAUGAAAACGAAAUUGCUAUUAUAAAGAAUUAUGGGGAC